AUACGUAGGGAGCGAGCGUUGUCCGGAUUUACUGAGUGUAAAGGGUGCGUAGGCGGCUCUGCAAGUCAGGUGUGAAAACCAUCGGCUUAACUGAUGGACUGCAUUUGAAACUGUGGGGCUCGAGUGGAGUAGAGGCAGACGGAAUUCCCGGUGUAGCGGUGAAAUGCGUAGAGAUCGGGAAGAACACCAGUGGCGAAGGCGGUUUGCUGGGCUCUAACUGACGCUGAGGCACGAAAGCAUGGGUAGCAAACAGGAUUAGAUACUCUGGUAGUCCAUGCCGUAAACGAUGAUUACUAGGUGUGGGGAGUCUGACCCUCUCCGUGCCGGAGUCAACACAAUAAGUAAUCCACCUGGGAAGUACGACCGCAAGGUUGAA
rnacentral:rRNA from 1 species